CACGUAGGGCGCGAGCGUUGUCCGGAAUUAUUGGGCGUAAAGAGCUCGUAGGCGGCCUGUUGCGUCCGCUGUGAAAGCCCGGGGCUUAACCCCGGGUCUGCAGUGGAUACGGGCAGGCUAGAGGUAGGUAGGGGAGAAUGGAAUUCCUGGUGUAGCGGUGAAAUGCGCAGAUAUCAGGAGGAACACCGGUGGCGAAGGCGGCUCUCUGGACCGUAACUGACGCUGAGGCGCGAAAGCGUGGGGAGCAAACAGG
rnacentral:rRNA from 1 species